CCAAACUUGUAUUUAUGGAUUCCACUGGUUCUCUGGAUCAUGAUAGCAGCAGAGUGUUCGUUUUACUUACUCACAGUGAGUGUGGAGGUUUACCACUAGGAGUUCUGAUUAUGUCUUCAGAAAGCUGCGGAGUUAUAGAAAUGGGACUAGAGUUGCUGAAAGAGGUAGUGGGGGAAAUAUCAAUGGCCCAAGUGUGUUUCUGACUGACGACAGCCAGUCAGAACAAAAUGCAAUUAGAAGGUGCUUCCCAAACAAAAAAACUUUGUUGUGUAUAUUCCAUGUCCUGCAGGCAGUGUGGCGUUGGCUUCUCAAAACAAAAAAUGCUAUACCACAGCAAAAACAGUGCGAGUUCUUCCAGAAUUUCAAAAAAAUAAUGUUUGCACAAACAAAAAAUGAAGCAGUGGUAAACUAUAAUGUAACAAGAGCGAACAUCGGUGAAAAUCAUCAAAAUUUAUUGAAAUACUUGGAAGGGUAUUGGGAUAGGAGAGAACUGUGGACCCUUUCACAUCAGUGAGGUAUGCUUAUAGAAGGGCACAACACAAAUAAUAUAAGUGAGGCCUUCGUGAGAAUUUUAAAGGACAGGAUUUUUGAGAGGGUGCGUGCCUUCAAUGUGGUUCAGAUGGUGGACUUUUUUCUCACAAAGGUGAAUUUGUAUUUUCAGAGGAGACUUCUUGAUGCUGCUAAUGGAGCAAGUCCUAAGUCUUUCUGUAGGCCUAUAAAGGCUCCUUCACAGGAGAUUCUAGCAAAAAUCAGACAAGUCAAUGAGGAUGUUCUGCUCGUUUCCAGUGAAAAAAGGCAGAAUCAUUAUUACAUUGUUAAUAUGGCUGUUCUUGUUUGCACUUGUUGCCAAGGCAAUGCAGGGAAGAUCUGCAAACAUAUAGACUGGGGCAGUGCUGUUUUACCAUCAGGAAACUACAGGGAGGUGACUGAUAGUGACAGUAUACGUAGACUGUAUUAUUUUAUUGCUACAAAUGAGGAGCCUCCUGAAGGGUGGCUAGAGCCUCUGUAUUGCUCUCAGAAUGCAGGGGCUUCAAGUUCUUCGGAACGUUUGGAGCAAAUGGACACAGGUUUGCUCUGUGAAAGCCAAGAAGAGUUGCCAGAGACACUUCACAUGGAGACAGUUCCAGACAAAAGAAAUAAUGAUUUAAUCGACGAGAUAAAAGCUCGUCUCAUAGAUUUUUCAAAUAAACCCACUGAGGAAAUGAGGAAAGGCCUUGAAGUCAUGUGCGAAAAAUUGAGAAAGCUUAAAACGCCAUCUGCAUGUGCAUCUUAUUUGGCAAAUUUUGUGAAGGAAAAUCUAGAAAAAAUCGUGGUAACUAUAUUCCCUUUCAGCCCACUGCAAUAAGCAGAAGAAAAAACAAGUUGGCAGGUCACAGAUGUCAUCCGGGGGGAAGACAAAGACCACACUCUAAGCAAAGCAAGGAAUUUGUAAAGACAGUAGAAACUUCUGAAAUGGCUACCUUUCCAUCACCAGCUACGCAAUCAUCCCAGUCAGCUUCAGACUUUUGAAGAAGGUGCGCGACUAUUUACUGCAGCAUAGUGUGUAGGAUUUUCUUAAUCUGAGAUCCAACGUAAUGGAACUAUUAAGGGAAUGAUUGUAGUAAUUAAGUUUUUUCUUAAAGCUCAGGCCUAGCCUGACUGCUGAAAUAUAUUAAGUUUUUUUGUUGUAGCUCGGGUCUGACCCGAUUAUUCCCGGCGGGGUUAGGGAUUUUCUCUGCCUCGUGAUGACUGGGUGUUGUGUGAAGUCCUUAGGUUAGUUAGGUUUAAUUAGUUCUAAGUUCUAGGGGACUGAUGAUCAUCGAUGUUAAGUCCCAUAGUGCUCGGAGCCAUUUUCUAAUCCGAUUAUUGAAAUAAGUUUUUUCUUAAAGCUCAGACCAAACUUACUAUUGAAAUAUAGAAGUUCUUCUUUAAAUUGGGAUAUCCCAACAAUGUGGAUACUUAUUGUGUAUGUUGCACAAGUUUCUGGGAAAUGUGAAUUAUCUUUUCUUAAAAUGUAAACUACAUUUUAUAUUCUGCAUAUGGCUUUUUUUAUUUACAUCUGUUCCUUCAGGUUACAUGUAGCUUAUUUAAUUUGUCAUAUUAUG